CAUUUGAUUGUGUGGAAUAUGUUUCUAUUUCGUGAUUGAUGGGUUUCGAUUACCGUUGCUUAGAUCUUUUUUGACGUGAUGUCUUCGUGCUUCAACAUGGGAUUCCAUCUUGGCAUCUUGCCCGUUCGUUCAUCUACUGUGAAUUUUUAUAAACUCUUAAUUUAUUUGAGGUCGAAUAAUUAUGGUUUUAUUAGAAUUUUUAAAUUUUCAAAAGAAGUUAAGGCGAUGAUUGUAGAUUUUUCGUAUCGAUGUGACCACGCCUCGAAAAAUUGCCUUCGUUUUAUAGCCAAAAUGUGUAAAAUAUUUCUCAAAAAUAUUACUCUGCCUUCAAAAAUUCUUUAUUUCUAUUAGAAAAAUUUUCAUUUUUGCCUCGUUAUUCUAGAGUUUUAACUCGUUUUUUUUUUAAUACAGGCUUGCUGUGAGAUAACAACCUAGGAUUUGAUGGACAAAACUACUACAGAUGUAAUGUCUGUAACAGUGUGACUUAUUUUAUUUCCAAAAAAUGCCACUAAUGGGCUGAUUGAAAAAUUCAUUGGACAUAAGAUGUUAACAAUGGUUUCCAUUAAAACAUAAAGAUGAACAUGAGGAGGUAAAUCGAAAGGAGUCGAAACGUGGAGAAACAGAGCCCUCACUCACACUUUCUUCUCUUGGACUUGGAAAUGACAGUUGCAUUUAUGAAAUGGUUAUCAUUUAAACACGUUAAAUGAACAAGGAGACAAGUAAAAGGAUUCGAAAUCUGGAGAAAUGAAGCCCCGUUAAUGUAUUUUAGAAAAAACAUGCGGUCCAAUUCACACUUAUGUAUAUAAGGUUGCGCAUGUGAUGUUGUGUCGUUUGCUCUGUGGCUCAUUUCACUAUCAAUGGUAUCAUUAUUCCUUUCAAAAGUAUCUAUUGUUAGAGGGACUCUCUGCUGUCAACGCUUAGGAAUAAAACUCGAGCAUCUUCGGUAAUCCUCGAGAUUGUUCAACAAAUGGGAAAGAAACAAAGUUCAGUUUGGUCCUGCUGAAACAACCAAUGUCUACAUGGGCAUCAUCUUUCCUGGAUUGUUCUCUUGAUUAGCUGUUUACAUCUUUGGUUUACAACAUUAUGAAGUUAAUUUUCAACUGAUGUGUGAGAGCAACUGGAGAUUAAUUUGAAUUCCAUGGAAAUAACAAAUUUUCUGCGAUAGUAUUCCUGCUGGAUUUGCUUUGCUUUUUACACCUGCAAAGUUAGGAAUGUUACAAUCUACAAUUAAUUAAGGUGAGAAUACUUGAUAUAAUUAAUUU